rnacentral:rRNA from 1 species
UAAGCAUAUCAAUAAGCGGAGGAAAAGAAACCAACAGGGAUUGCCUUAGUAACUGCGAGUGAAGCGGCAAAAGCUCAAAUUUGAAAGCUUCGGCAUUGUAAUUUGAAGAUUUGGCAUUGGAAUAAAGCUAACCCAAGUUGCUUGGAACAGCACGUCAUAGAGGGUGACAACCCCGUAUGGCUAACCGUUAUUCUAUGUAUUGCCUUAUCUAAGAGUCGAGUUGUUUGGGAAUGCAGCUCUAAGUGGGUGGUAAACUCCAUCUAAAGCUAAAUAUUGGCGAGAGACCGAUAGCGAACAAGUACUGUGAAGGAAAGAUGAAAAGAACUUUGAAAAGAGAGUGAAAAAGUAUGUGAAAUUGUUGAAAGGGAAGGGAAAAAUUGGAGGCAUGCCUUAGGGUUCACUUCUGUUUCGGCAGGAGGUACUCCCGACGGCGGGUCAUCCAGGGGGAUUACCGCAGGAUAAACGGUUAGGAAUUGCUUGCAAGGCCUUGCCACCUACUGCGCGUAGCUCCUUUGGCUGGCGUAAUCCAAUUUCUCCACCCGUCUUGAAACACGGACCAAGGAGUCUAACGGAUGUGCGAGUAUUAGGGUGUAAAACCCUGCUGCGCAAUGAAAGUGAAUAGAUUGGCUCACAAUCGACCGGACAGAAUUACUAUGAACGUCCCGAGUGGAGCAUAUCCGUUGGGACCCGAAAGAUGGUGAACUAUGCCUGAGUGGGGUGAAGCCAGAGGAAACUCUGGUGGAGGCUCUUUGCGGUUCUGACGUGCAAAUCGAUCGUUUAACUUGGGUAUAGGGGCGAAAGACUAAUCGAACCAUCUAGUAGCUGGUUCCUGCCGAA